rnacentral:misc_RNA from 1 species
UGACUGUGUUCUUGCUGUGCUCUAAAUUCUUUGGAUCUUGUGUGAUCUCUGUAUUGAUCUAUGAACUACUUCUGAUAAAGCGAGGAACAGAGGAAAGAAUAAACUAGAUAAUAAAUUGUAACUUGAAUUACUAUUAAGUAAUGAUCAGUGUCUUUACAAUAAUAACUCUCAAAUACAAUCACCUCUCUUCUUCUAUCAAACAACAAAGGAAGAAAGAAAACCCCAAACACUCAAUUCCAGGAGUCAAAUCCCAUAGUAGCAUAGCUAGUCACAGCAAUAGCCAAAAGAAAAUAAUACGAAGCCUCCCCUCACUCAAUGAGCACUUAUUUAAAACAUUCCCUGCUGCUACUCUUUCUCACGUGAAUCGGCUCCCACAUUUGUAGCUAACAGACUUCCUUUCCGUUGCUCACCCUCCCGCUGUAUUGUUCUAGAGACUUCCUUCUCAGGUUCUAGAAGCAUCUUCUUAAUUAUUCUGGAAUACAUUGGGCCUUUAGUUGAGUA